GGAUUAGAUACCCUGGUAGUCCACACCGUAAACGCUGUCUACUAGCUGUGUGUGAUUUUAAAUUGUGCGUAGCGAAGCAAACGCGCUAAGUAGACCGCCUGGGGAGUACGGCCGCAAGGUUAAAACUCAAAUGAAUUGACGGGGGCCCGCACAAGCGGUGGAGCAUGUGGUUUAAUUCGAUGCAACGCGAAGAACCUUACCUACUCUUGACAUCCUAAGAAUAAGCUAGAGAUAGCUUAGUGCCUUUUGGAGCUUAGAGACAGGUGCUGCAUGGCUGUCGUCAGCUCGUGCCG
rnacentral:rRNA from 1 species